GGCACUAUAGCCAAGUGGUUACGGCGACAGAUUCGAAUGAAAGUAUCUGUUCCUCUUUGAGGGCGCAGGUUCAAAUCCUGCUGGUGUCG